AUUGAACGCUGGCGGCAGGCCUAACACAUGCAAGUCGAGCGGAUGAAGGGAGCUUGCUCCUGGAUUCAGCGGCGGACGGGUGAGGAAUGCCUGGGAAUCUGCCUGGUAGUGGGGGAUAACGUCCGGAAACGGGCGCUAAUACCGCAUACGUCCUGAGGGAGAAAGUGGGGGAGCUUCGGACCUCACGCUAUCAGAUGAGCCUAGGUCGGAUUAGCUAGUUGGUGGGGUAAAGGCCUACCAAGGCGACGAUCCGUAACUGGUCUGAGAGGAUGAUCAGUCACACUGGAACUGAGACACGGUCCAGACUCCUACGGGAGGGAGCAGUGGGGAAUAUUGGACAAUGGGCGAAAGCCUGAUCCAGCCAUGCCGCGUGUGUGAAGAAGGUCUUCGGAUUGUAAAGCACUUUAAGUUGGGAGGAAGGGCAGUAAGUUAAUACCUUGCUGUUUUGACGUUACCAACAGAAUAAGCACCGGCUAACUUCGUG
rnacentral:rRNA from 1 species